UACGGAGGGGGCUAGCGUUGUUCGGAAUUACUGGGCGUAAAGGGCGUGUAGGCGGUUUGCCAAGUCAGAUGUGAAAGCCCCGGGCUUAACCUGGGAACUGCAUUUGAGACUGGCAGGCUAGAGGUUGGAAGAGGAGAGUGGAAUUCCCAGUGUAGAGGUGAAAUUCGUAGAUAUUGGGAAGAACACCAGUGGCGAAGGCGGCUCUCUGGUCCACACCUGACGCUGAGGCGCGAAAGCGUGGGGAGCAAACAGGAUUAGAAACCCCUGUAGUCC
rnacentral:rRNA from 1 species